rnacentral:rRNA from 1 species
AACCGUGGUAAUUCUAUGGCUAAUACAUGCGCAAAUACUAUAUCACUCGGGGGUAUAGUAGUGUUUAUUAGAUACAGAACCAAUACACCUUUUUUAAAGGGUGUAGAAAAAGGUGAUUCAUAGUAACCGAACGGAUCGCAUUAUAAUCAUUUCGAUGAUUGGCGAUAGAUCAUUCAAGUUUCUGACCUAUCAGCUUUCGACGGUAGUGUAUUGGACUACCGUGGCAGUGACGGGUAACGGGGAAUUAGGGUUCGAUUCCGGAGAGGGAGCCUGAGAAACGGCUACCACAUCUAAGGAAGGCAGCAGGCGCGCAAAUUACCCAAUCCUGACUCAGGGAGGUAGUGACAAGAAAUAACAACACUGGAAAUUCUAUUUCUAGUGAUUGGAAUGAUGGGAAUCCAAACCCCUUUCAGAGUAACAAUUGGAGGGCAAGUCUGGUGCCAGCAGCCGCGGUAAUUCCAGCUCCAAUAGCGUAUAUUAAAGUUGUUGCAGUUAAAAAGCUCGUAGUUGGAUAUAUGCUGGAAGCAAUCAGUCCGCCCUUUUAGUGAGGGUGUGUACUUGAUGAAUUCUGGCA